ensembl:lncRNA
GCUUCCGACUCCACUUUAUCCUGUUUUCCGUGGACUGGACUCCCGUCAGUGCGCAGCUGUUGUUGGCACUCCCACAUCUGCUUCUCUCCGCUCGGCAGCCAUAUAGAGAAGACGCACAGCCGCGGUUCGUGUUAGUAGCGUGCUGCGACUCGAUCCAACCAGCCUUUCAGUGCGGGCGUAAUCACUGCGCACACACACGACGCCUGUUUUACCGUCUGAUCGGCUUGCAGUCAGCCUGGUAGAGGAAGACGAAGAAAGCAGAAAAAAGGCGAAGAAGGAGCGAUCUUUUCUUAUCGUUUGGUGACAGGUGGAUGUGGAUCCCGGAGAUUACUGGUACUCCCUGUGGAUUCAUCCACAGCGCUGCAGACAGAGACACACAGGACGCUGGGAGGAUCCAGAAGGGAACCAACAACAGGACAGGUUAUGUGUACAGACUGGAUUGUCGUCAUUAUCAUUUCUAGGGAGGUUAAUUUUCAGGCCACAUGGAAAUUUAAUAGCAUUACUCAGUCAUUUAGAUAACUGAUAUUACUGAUGCCUAUCCUAAGUGACUCAUAUGUUUUUACAGUGGGUGUUUUUCAGUCCACCGUGUCUGAGACUAAAUAUAAAGCAGUAAAAAGAAACAAAAAAAAAAAGAUGAAAGAACAACCAGUACCUGGGGGAUCUUGUGAGGACAGUUGGGUUGUGUCCCACUUUUUUCUGCUGCUUUGUGUUGUGUGCUCUUCUCCAGUUACACCGAUGGAAAAAGCAGAUUGUUGGGGGGGCUUGACAGGACUUCAUUGUGCUCCCGGUGGCUUCGCUCCAUUGCCCUCUACUGUGCUGCGUAUGGACUGUGACGACCACAUGGUGCCAUUUUCCCUGCCCUGUACCUUCAGAAGAGAGAAUCCGUGUUCCAGUGUUUUCCUACUGAGAGAUGACUUCUGCUUUUGCAAAUCAGUGCAAACAGUAUUUCACUUGUUGCUUCGUAGUCAACAUCAGUGUGCUCAGAUUUAGCAGGGAGCUUUUUCAUGGGUGUUGUGCAGAAUAAUUUGCUGCAGUGCGAUUUUUUUUUUGUAAGUAAUAAGCACAUCCUGGCCCGUUCUCUGACUUUAUUUUGCUGGUCAAAAACACUGAUUCUGUAGCCAUUGACCAUCACUCAUGCAUUUUUCCUUUAGCUGCCACGUGCAGUGACCCAUACUCUUUCUAACCCUCUCACGGUUUCUUCCUGUAUAAGAUACUUCACUCAAAGCGAGCAGCGUUUCAGCGAGACUUUUUUGUGUCUUUUCAUAGCUGGAGUUUAUCUAUGCCAGAUUUGUGCAAAGCUCUGAUAUUUGAAAAAAAAGCUGCUAAAGUGUGUGAAAAUGACAAGUUCCCAAUGUGCAAUUCACACAGUAUGUUUUUGUUUGUGCGGAAACCUCUAAAGUGGAUCACACUUGUGUGUGUGUGCGUGUUACGGGGGUGUGUACGUGAGUGCACGUGUUUCUUUGCAUGUACCCUAUACGUAUGUCUGCAUGUGUCUCUUAUCAGUCAGAUGAAAUGUAUUUGUAACGGGCCUUAAGCUAAAAGCUGCUUUACUGUGAUUUUUGUUUUCACAGCUGCUCAAUCAAUAACAGGCCUAUAUUCUUUUAGCCACUGGAUGUACCAGAUAAGGGAUAAAACAACAUUUACAAAUGGUUCUUAGCAUUUGUUACAACCUCACUGAAGUAGCAGUUAUUAUACUGAUUUAGAUCACAAGGAUGCCAUUGGAAAUUAAUGGUCUGUAGUUUUCUAAACGAUGCCCGCUGGCAAUAAUUAAGUUGUCCCGAUGCCUACAGUCCUAUCAUUUCACACUGAAGCCAAUUACAGCAAAUGCUAAUAAUUAUGUGUAAAUAGAUUUUUACCCACAUCUGGGUUGUACUAACAGUAUCUCACUAAUAUCUAACAGUACUAAUAUAUGUGCUAACAGUUGGAGGAUUACUAACCUGUAUUGAGAAUGCUGUUGGCUGGCAUUUCUAACCCUAACUUGACUAACCCUCUGCUUUCUGCCCGCAGUCUGCAGCGCAUAUACUCCCUUUGCAUGAUCUUGCAUCCCUUCUUUUAGAAGUUUAGAUAAAUCGUUAAAGUCGGGAAAAACGUUGCACUGAGCAUGUCGAGAAGGCUUUCGGGACUUGGAAAGGAAAAAAAAGUGAUUAAGCUCAAGGUGAAAAGACAAGCGGGAACAGCUGCUGACAUCAAACUGGGUUGACCGCACACUUAUGAGCAACCGACGCAAAACCGAUUGCGAUCAGAUUCAGAGAGGUCAGUCUUUACGUUUGUACGUGCUCUGUGCGGUCAACCUGCAGGUGAGUGCCUGGCUUGUUGUCAGCUCGGGCGGUGCUGUCAGACAGAAGCUGAGCACACCUCAGUACUAACUCCUGAUUGGUGCUGAUACUAACAGUCCUGAUCCUGUAAAUGUCCAUCUUACUAAUGUCUUUGUUUGCUGUUCUUUACUAAACUUUGAGUAAAUCAAAGCAUGUCCAGCAAUACCACUGGACAGACCUACUAUGAACAACAGUCAUCAACAUUCAUCAAAACAAUUCACUAACCCAAAAGAAGAGUGUUGAACAGCUCUCUACAAACUAACAAACUAACCUACUAAUGAACACAUAACCUAACAAAAACUAACUAGAAUCAAUAACUUUCUGCUCAAAAUUGUUGAAGCGCCCCAGAAUUGAGGAGAUGCGUCACUUACUAACAGAGUGAAAUUCAACAACGUGCUUGAAUGUGUGUGAGAGGGAGAGAGAAGAGCGAGUGUGUGUUUGCACAAGAGGUGUAUUUGUGUGGAAAUGCAAAAUAUGUUGCAAACUGGCUGUGAGCACUGCGAAAACCUCCAAAUACUCUUGCAGCCUGAAUCUAAUCCUUGAACCUCUCAGUUUAUGUAUUAUGUGAAAGCAGCAUGUUAAUGAAUGUUUACACUGACAUAAAUCAUGUUUUGAAAAGAACAAAACAAGAAAGCAAUACAAGCAAAAUGUCCAUAAGAACAACAGGAGGUCUAAGAAAAUGUGUUAAUAAAGUUUAAAAAUAAUACUUUGAUAGUGAUGGUAUUGUUUACUGUUUCAUGAACAAUUUCUGAAUAUUUUUUGUAAAGUUGUAACUUUUGUUUCUAAAACUUUGUAUCCAGGUAAUAAAAUUUUUUGCAACAUAGCGUUUCGUCAUAAGGCUGUGGCCCCGUGUUUCCUGUCCUGUUUCAGUCACAGACGGCGUGGAGUUAGUUUUAAGCAACAAGCGCAGAUCAGAAAUGACACUCAAGGUUACUCAUUGCUUUAAAAUGUGAAGGCAAGGGCCAUCAGAACACAACUGGUAUUGUAUCUUAUCAGCUCCAAUUCAAUAUGAAAUACUAUGUAUAAACCAUAAAGUAGACAAUAUUGCAUCAAAAAUAAUGAAAAUAAUAUUGCUAGUCAUUUGUAACAUUAUUUAUUAUUAAUUCACAAUCAGCAAUAAAUAUAUAUGCAUAAUAUAUGUAUAUGUGCAUGUAUAUUCUGUAAAUACAUACAUAAACAAUAUUAGCAAUGAGUAUAGAAAAAAUGACCAGAUUGCUUCAUAUUUUGCAUAAAGUAAAUAACUAGUUCAUUUUGUUGGGAGCUGAAGGAGUGUUAGUGUAACGGUAUGUGUUUACGACCCGUAAAUACUGCAACACACUCAUUGUGUCAGUGCCUCAACACCCUUUAAGAAUUCAAGAACCUUUUUUUUAACCUGAUAACAGGGAUGACAUCAUUCAAUAUUUAUCUUUUGUAUUUGUUUCUGACAGCUGCUCAGGUAUAAAAAAGGAUCUGGUUAAGGUCAAAUGAUGAAGCUCUGUUUAUCUUGAAAUGCUUACAUACCUGUAGUAUUUUAUCUUGUAAAGAAACGUCAUGGAUCUUUAAAUCAUCAUUAAUGACAGAGAAGUACUGGCAUCAAAGUGGGAAGUGGUUGUAUUACUAAACUAAUUUAAAUAUUAUGCAUGUCUCUGGCUGAUCAGUCAGAUCACAAUGUUCCUCCUGUGCAUUCAUACAUAUAAACUGUCUAAAUAACAGCAUUGUUUGUCUGAGAGUUUUCAUGGAUGGAAACUUACAGCAGGGGGCAGCAACUCAUCAUGUUGGGAGAUAAAAACGAUGUAAGGUCUAGCACAGGUUUCUUCUUAUAUGUAAGGCAAGCGGACACAUAUUUGUGAUGGCGCAAUCUUUCAGACUAUUUUGAUGAUACUCCUUCACAUUUACAUCAGGCCUGGUUCAAACACUGCAUUUAUGAUUCCAUUUAAACCACAUUUUCAGCAAUGUUGUUUUUUUACAAAUACGCAAAGUGUGUUACAAAGUGGUUAGUAAUGUUAGUAGGAUAUGAGUGUAUUCCUUUAAAACUCUCUUGUACAAAGAAACAUUGUGUGCAGACACUGUGUGCAUUAGAUCCAUCACGUCAUACAGGUUGUGUGUCUGUGCCAGAGACAGAAAGAGCGAAACACACACCGCAGUGGACCUUCAUUCCAGCAUCCUCCUGAUCUGCAUGGGUCAGACACACUGGGUUCUGCUCUGCCCCCCAUUUGAGCCCAAUGUGAUCCAGAUGACAGGGGGGUUUCCACAGGCAGAAGUUGGGGGGCCCGGGGUCUUCAUGGGUCAGCGGUAAUUCACCGCAGAGCUCUGAAAGCAGAGUCUUAACACACACAAAACCCCGCACAGAAAAGUGAGGCUCCACUUAAAGUCUUAAAUAUCACACAAACCUCAGUUCAAAGGCAGGUAUGUUUGCAUGAAAAGCCUUAAUCGGCUUAAUGAUGUCCUCUAGCGCAUGGUUAGUUUUGAAAACACACUAAUGCUCAAGUUUAUACAGGCUUGGAUACCACAGAGACAUUUAUGUCCCAAAGACAGAGAGAGGCAGAGACCGAGAGCUUGUGUGUGUGUGUGUGUGUGUGUGUGUGUGUUGAUGUAGGCAAUCAGUAAUUUCCACAAUUAUCUAAUUGUGUCAGAAUUUCUGCAGGUUUUUUUUUUUUUACCAAUUAUCCAUUUCCGUUUUCUUCUUUGUUUGAAUAAAAUAAGGAAUGUCUUAGCACACUGCUCAUGUGUGCGUGCGUAAUUAUGUGUGCAAUCCAGAAGCAGCCCUCUGUAACCAGAGCUUCCAUCAUAUGGAGGAUGCCUGCUGAAAUAACAGCUCCGCUACUUCCAGCGGAAUUUGUGUGUAGGCUGUAAAAGAUGGCGAGGAAGAAGAAGAAGAAAACCUAAGCCCGGGAAGUAUUUCUCUUUGUGGCACUGUAAUCAGCAGUGCUCUGCCCUGUAGAGCUUAAAAUAGUAAAACCACUGAAAGACAGUUCAAGGACUGAAAAGAGAUCGCUCUCGCUGCAAGUGUGUAUUUUUAUGUGUCGCUGCUUCCUGAAUGAAGAUGUGAAUCUAGUUACAAUAUUCUUCAGGUUUUCUAUUUUUAGGGGAAAAAGUCUUUUCUAGGCCUGCUGUAUGUGCGCUGUUGUUUAAGAACCUUUACAACCAGUGUCCUGUUUCUACAUACAUUUGCAAAACUGCCCAUGCAAGUUAAUGGAGACUUCCUAUUCAGUUCGGUCUGGAUAAGAAACAGACAAGUUACACAUGUAAAGAAGAGGAACAAGCAGAAGGAAGAGGGGGUUCCUUUUCUAUCGGGUAGAGAGCAGCUGAAAAAGGAGUGCUCGUAGCAGUAAAGCAAACCCAGGGCAUUAAAGAAACAAAAAGAACUAAAACUGAAACCAGGCUAGAAGUCCAACUUAUACAUUAUAUGUACAGGUGCAACAGUCUUGAAUCAAAUGGUCUCGCACCAACCAUCAGAAAUCAGUCUUUUUAGCGGUUGUGUCUUGCUGGGAAACGCUGAGUCCAACUCUUCCACCAGUUCCACAGACAAUUCCAA